GGGAGGGUGCCCGAGCGGCCAAAGGGAGCGGUCUGUAAAAUCGCCGGCUGACGCCUACGGAGGUUCGAAUCCUCCCCCUCCCA
rnacentral:tRNA from 1 species